AGAGGUCACCCCGGUUUUAACCCCGUUUACGACACGGGAGGGCUCUGUUGUGCGCUGCAGGUGAGUUGCUGCCGUACAAGGCGAUUUCCUGUGCAUCGGACCUUGGGCACUGCGGCCUCUGUGCGCCGAGAGACUCAGCUGUUUGCGUCAACCGUGCGUGACGCCUGGAAAACCAGAGGGCCUUUCUGUCAGACACACCCUUGAGCACAUAAUUGACAGGCCCCAGAGGGCCGAUCGAUAUCUGAGGGCCCUAGAAGGUCUGCGACUGGAGACCACCCCAGGGACCUCGGCCCUCCGUUCUCCCCGCCCCCCACAUCCACCUGAUGCCCCCACAAGCAGGUGAAAGGGAAGAAGAACCAAAACAACAGACGUGGAUGUGCUAGCUCAUUGCAACGGUGAGCCCCUCGGCGAUCGCUGCAGAGGCCACCCCUGGGAGCAGCCGGAAUCAGCCAACUGCCAGAUUGCAACUGGCGCUGAGCUUUCUGGAACUCUGCACCCCGCAUUCUCUCCCACCAACGGGGGGACCGCAGGGAGUGCGCCCCACUUCCCACAGGCACGAUCCCUCCCUCGGGGCGCCGGCAGUUCCUGCCGGGCCGCCCACAGAUCUUGUUUGUAGCACAGAGGGCGUCUCCUAGAGGGUUCCGAUUCUCGGCGUUUUAGCUGCGGCGAGGACACCAGCCCCUGGGCAGGAGGCCUCCCAGUGGAGCGGGGUUGCUGUGGGGUGCGUGCCGCCUGGGCCGCCGCCGGGACCAGGGAGAGGACGUGGGGCUGUCCUGCCUGAUGCUGCCCAGGAGUCAAGAAUAGCAACGGAAGAGCUCUGGCUGGGCAGCUCAGCGGGCGGCGGUGCCUUCCCACCAGGCACAGGUUCAAUCCCCAGUCGGGCACACACCUGAAGCAACCAACCCAUGAAGGCAUCAACAAGGGGGACAAUGGGUCGAUGUUUCCCUGUCCCUUCCUCGCUCUCUAAAAUCGAUAGAUAACAAUGUUUUUAAAAAGCCAUCCUUCGUAAUACCUCAGGUUGUUGGGGUUUUUUUAAUAGAAACUUAAGGGAACAAGGAGGGAAAAUCGUGCUCCUGUAUUUCACUCUCCUCUUUCUGUGCAACACUGGAAACCGAGGCGGCUUUGUGCAGCCCUGGCUGCCAUGGAGGCCGGUGAGCCAGGCCACCCCCACUGCCAAAGGCUGACUUCCAGGCAGCGGCUGUUCUUACGUCGAUCGCCCUGUUCUUCUCGUAACGCACGACAUGGCAGCCACAAAGUCAGCCUCCUUUUAAGUGGUAAUAUGUUCUUCCCCGUGAGACAAAGAACAGGAAAGUGCCG